rnacentral:lncRNA from 1 species
GGAUGAGUCACAAGAUGCGACCCCCUCCAUAGCCCACCCGAAAUUGGAGGAGGGCAACGAAGAGCUGCCGAGAAUCCGAGUGGGGGAGGGAAGAGAUGGAGUGGCGAACAAGACAUGGGAUUCCAACAGGAGCAGUAGAGCUGGUAGUGUGAACACCAGGGAAGCUCUCCUGAAAUGCAGGGGGGCUGGUGUGUGGCUUCUCCUGACUUCUCCAUCCCUGGCCCUGCAAUCAAGCAUGGGAGCCAGGAGUCCCAGAAGCCCUAUAGUGCCGUGGGGUAAGUGCCCAGACUCUGGAACCAGGCUGACUGGGUUUGCAUCCCACCUCUACCACUUACCAGCUGUGUGACUACAGCGCUUGGCUUUGCUCUCCUGUGUGGACUUCAUUCUUGGGAUCUACAUGAAAGCAAGAUAUCUGCCAGCAUCUCUAGGCCAACAUACUCUGUGGUCGGAGUCCCACAGAAAAGAAGAGAGCUUCUCUUCCCCAGUGCAGCCAGUCAGCAUCCUGGCUGGUUCUCAUUGGCCUGGUUUGGGACCCCUGCUAAGCUCGGAAUCAGUCGCUGAAGACAGGGGGACACAGUGCUCUGACUGGCUAAGGCUGAGUCACUUGCCUACCCCCAGAACUGGAAGUCCGUAGGAGCAGCUGCUGCCGCCACCACUAGAACCACCACCACUGCUGCUCUGCAGGAAGCCAGGAGCUCACACUCUUGCCGAUGCUGCAGUCUGGAAGUCUGAAGUCCCUUGCUGUUGUUGUUGUCACCGCCAGAGCUAGAGUUCAUGAACAUCACGCUGCUGAGGCUCCUGGAGUGCCUGCUGCCGCCACCACCUCUGGAAGAGGACAGCUUGAGCUGGAACCCAGGAGCCUGCACCCACCCGUUGUUUUUACUGCUGUGGCAGCUGCUGCUCCUACCACUGCUGGUGACUGCCUUCCAAACUCCCACCAGUGCCAAUCAUUGGCAAAAGCUAAUGGGAAGCCAGUUGAUAAAGGAAUGUGAGAAAUGCAGCUUAUAGGCUUCCAGCCCCUUGCUGUACACAGCAGAGGAUGAGAAUAGAGCUCACCGCAAGCAGCUGACCCAUAAAGUGUGUUGUCUGCCUCAGUGCUGCAGUGGGGCAGGACAAUGUGGGGAAAAGCGUUGGGGAGAAAAGAAGUGGUGGCGAUGCCAAUUGGAGAGAAGUAAGCACAUGAUCGAAGGGCCAGAGAUAGAGCCAGAAAAUGUGAAGUGACAACAAAAGAGGGCCCCUGGAAAGUGGUCACAGAUUUCAGAUGUUUCCAGAGAACAGAGAUGUUAUCAGAGGGCCCUUGAUGCGGAAGAGGAGGAGGGGAAGAAGUGGAAGGAAGAUUCUGAGAGCAAAGAUGCACCCAGAAAAUGCUCUGGACACCCCAUGGCCAGUCAAGUUGAUGCGUGAAAUUAACCACCGUGAAGACCAACAUGGUGACUCCUCUUGCAGUUUAUGGUCAAACAGGAGCAACAGACACAGAAAGUAAACCAACAACUAUGCAAUCACACAGUUAUUGCAACAUGCCAUGAGGGAAAAGAACAGGGUGCUGAGAUGAAAUAAGGGGGCACUGAAUUUGAUGCCAGAUUGGAGGUGUGUGGGAAUGCCUCCAAGAAGACGACGUCUGAAAGAUUGGAAGUGGCCAGCCAGGUGAAGGAAGAGGACCAGUGUCUAGGCCAAGGGACUGCAUGGGCAGAGAUCCCGAGGUGAGAAGAGCGGCUCAUCACACGAGCUCAGGAAGACCGUGGCUGGAGGGAUGUGAGUUCACUGAGAGAAGACUGUGGCUAGGAGUUCAGAUUUUAUCCUAAGUGCCAACAGACUGUUUUGUGGCUGGGGGCCUGGCCCAUACAACCCCCCCAGGCAUAAUCCUUUCCCUCUCCAUCUAUCAGCUGGAUGGGAAGGACUUCAAGGACCUAGAAGAAGGCAAAACCCGAAGGUGGAAGAAGUCCAGGUCUCUGAAUGACUGUGUAGGGCAAAACCCUCACCAACCUGCAUCGAACUGUGACACGAAUGAGAAA